rnacentral:lncRNA from 1 species
CUAUGGCUAUGUAAGUUGUAUGUUUUGUGUGUUCUUUGUGGCAUUUGAGGAGUAGAGGACUCACCCCUACAACCAACAACUUUUAAGUAUCAUUGUCAAAUGAGACCAUGAUGAUCUCAUGCUUGCGGAGAUUGUAACACCCUCUACCCUCACAAAUAACGAAUAAAAGGAAAUAAAAUCAUGCAGAUUUUUUUUUAAAACAUAUUGACUUUAAAUUGAUUUCAAAAGAUAAAGGGUUCGCAUUCACUUAAUGAAAACAUAGUAGAAAUUAUUCGAAUAAAAACAACAAAGUUAUCGUGGCUCAAAACAAGGUCGUCCAUACUGAAUGAAUAAUAAAAAAAACUAAAACAAAAAACAUAACACAACUAUAUCGUUUACAGAAAAUAUAGCAUGCGAAGUAAAUCCUAUGCCCCAGUGUCACACUUAUCAGAGCAUGUCUCUAUCACAAACUAAGUCUCUCCGGCUCUAACAUGGAAUUCAUCAUGUGAUGGCUCACCUAAACAAAUGGCAAUCAGCCCAAACACAAACACACACCGGGAAUAAGUUAUCACAUUCAUAUAUAAUAAAAUAUUAGAGCAUAUAAAACAUAUAAUACUUACAGUUGAAUUUAUAUAAUUAACACCACUUCACAAAAUCACACACAUUAUGCACAUCCAUUCACGUUCAUCCACUCCAAAAAAUAACAUCAAACCACAAUUGUUAACCCAAUGAAAGUCAAACACAUGCGUUAUACAACAAAUACUCUAGACUCAAGCCUACAUGGAAUGUGGUACCAUUUUUCAAUGAAAAAUCUCGUCGGGCACCUAGGAGUACAUGACAGGACAUGCCUCACAAUGGGUAAGUCAGGUCGCUCUCACUAAGUGAAAUCAUAGGGAGACUAGUCAGGGUCACGUUGUUUUGCGAGAAUGCUCCAACCAUGUGGGAUCGGCACAAGCUCACAGGAGCACUCAAACCGGAUGACCCCCAAGGCCUACACUCCGAAGAGUCCAUCUGGGCAUCUCCCUCCUGAUUCAGGUCCAACCCAAAAAAAAAAAAAACAUUUGAACACACAGACUCUACCUAUGAAUUAUGCAAU